UACAGAGGUCCCAAGCGUUGUUCGGAUUCAUUGGGCGUAAAGGGUGCGUAGGUGGCGCCAUAAGUCAGGUGUGAAAUUUCGGAGCUUAACUCCGAAACUGCAUUUGAUACUGUGGUGCUUGAGGACUGGAGAGGAGACUGGAAUUUACGGUGUAGCAGUGAAAUGCGUAGAGAUCGUAAGGAAGACCAGUGGCGAAGGCGGGUCUCUGGACAGUUCCUGACACUGAGGCACGAAGGUCAGGGGAGCAAACGGG
rnacentral:rRNA from 1 species